GGGUAAGCGGUGGUGGGCGCUCCCUCCUCUGAAAGGGGGAUGCCCAUGGGUCUCUGGUGAUGGGGUUGGCCAUCUUCCCCCUACCCCGCGCCUGCCCCCACAAUGAACGACAUCCCAUCCAAACGCUGCAGGCCUGGAGAAGACCAUCCGUUUUCUGGAGUUGGCCCUGCUUCCCUGCCUGAGUGUUGCCCGUCGUCCAAGGCACUCAAGGAUCUCCAGGCACAACCUUCCUACCGGUCUUGCCCGAACAACUGGGCUGUGCUAGCUACAAGUUUCUGGGCAGGCAGGCCCCUCACAGUCGUGCCCAGAGGUUCUGUCCUGUGGCUGGGGUCUCCAAGUCUGGGGCCGGUGGCCCCUGCAUUGGCGGGGUAUCGGUAGAGAGCCGGGGAAACGGCGCCUCCCACCCCCACUCGCGAGCACGGACUCAGACUGAGUGAGAGGGUGAGCGAGAGCGGGAAGAAGCACGUGUGCAGUAUGCCGGUUUCUUAAUUCUCAAAACGGGCUACAGAAGGGCAGUCUUGAAUUGGCAACAAGCUUCUGAGCCGCGAGAUGACGGUGCCACUGACCGGCCUUCGUUUCGAUUGGAAGCCUGCAUUUCGACGCCCCUUACUAAAACGCUCGGCCUCCGGGGAGGCUUUAAGCCUCGAGGGCAACGCCUGAGCCGGGAUGACGCAGCUGCGAGGGGCAGGCCGGGAACGGGUUCGGGAAGCGCCGGGAAGGAUGACCUGCGGCACGCUGGGAGGCUGCACUAACGCACCGAGGCCCCCACCCUCCUUCCGUCUCCUGAAAUCCUCACUGCCACCCGGCAGAUUAGAGGGCACGUGAGAAGACAUGUGGUGUGGAAUUCUAGUAAGAAGAGUCUUGAUGGGAUUGAUAGAGACAACUCCUUAAUGAUGUUUGACCCACCUUUGAGACAAUGGAAAGACUGGAGAUAAAUGCUGCCUGAGAGAAGAGCAUGACCAUACACAGGGCAACUCUGCAGCUGAUGGAGUCACAGGGGGCUGGAGGCUGUCUGCAGACCAUUCUCCCCCUCGACUGAGGGGCAGGUUUUCCUUGAAGAGGGAUCUUGGUGACACAUCUCCACGUUCAUCAAAAUGAUCAGAAGGCUGAAUCAACAGCUUACUUGGAAUGUGAUUUAAACAUGUGUGUGGUGUACAGAUAGGACCAUCAGCCAGGAGACUCCAUGCUCUUGAACCGAGGGAUGUUUCUGUUGUCCUGCAGGGGCUAAAACACAAACUACAAGCUUUGCUGAGCCCACCUUUUUCUCUCUCCAUAAGUAUGAAGAUGAGUAUCAGAAACACCAAAAAGGAGACUGUGACGCUGAUGGAAAAGCUGCUACCUGAUAUUGCUGAGUGUUGUCCUUCUGAGAAAGAAGACACAUUUACAAAAACAGCACAAAAUGUAAACUUGGAGUCCGGUUUGGGGCUAUGAGCGAUUAUUUUCAUUUCAAUGGUGUCUUGUUCACGGACUUGACUUCUUAUCAGGGGAAGUGCUCUAGUCAAAUAAAUAUUUCCAUUAGUUUUAUUUACUAAAAAGAAAGGAGAUGGAGUUUCCAAAGAGUAAAGAAUAACUCCAUCAAUACCAGCAUCUGCAUCUGAUGCUUCCACUUUGCCAACCAACUGUCUUAUUUUAUUCUUUUCUGGAAGGUUGAAAAAAUAUUGAUCUUGAGUAAAAAUGGGUUCAAACUCAUCUAUCCCAUCAAUAUCCACCCAAACCAUUAAAGAGGCUGCUGAGUCCCCUUUGUCUUUUGCCUGAACUGUGAGGCAGUAUUUAUUGUCAUUUUCAUAGUCAAGG